CGGCGGUCAUAGCGUGGGGGAAACGCCCGGUCCCAUUCCGAACCCGGAAGCUAAGACCCACAGCGCCGAUGGUACUGCACCCGGGAGGGUGUGGGAGAGUAGGACACCACCCGGAAGCUAAGACCCACAGCGCCGAUGGUACUGCACCCGGGAGGGUGUGGGAGAGUAGGACACCGCCGGACA
rnacentral:rRNA from 1 species